UGCGCGGGCCGGGCCCCUCUGGCGGCCGGACUUGAUCCACGGUGCAGCGAUGCGCCAUUUGGAUCUCCGGACGUGAUGUCGGACCGCAUCG
rnacentral:ncRNA from 1 species